rnacentral:rRNA from 1 species
AGCAGUGGGGAAUUUUGGACAAUGGGGGCAACCCUGAUCCAGCCAUUCCGCGUGAGUGAAGAAGGCCUUCGGGUUGUAAAGCUCUUUCGGCAGGAACGAAACGGUGGAGGCGAAUAACCUUCAUCAAUGACGGUACCUGAAGAAGAAGCACCGGCUAACUACGUGCCAGCAGCCGCGGUAAUACGUAGGGUGCGAGCGUUAAUCGGAAUUACUGGGCGUAAAGCGUGCGCAGGUGGUUUCGUAAGACAGAUGUGAAAUCCCCGGGCUUAACCUGGGAACUGCGUUUGUGACUGCGAGACUCGAGUGCGGCAGAGGGGGGUGGAAUUCCACGUGUAGCAGUGAAAUGCGUAGAGAUGUGGAGGAACACCGAUGGCGAAGGCAGCCCCCUGGGUCGACACUGACGCUCAUGCACGAAAGCGUGGGUAGCAAACAGGAUUAGAUACCCUGGUAGUCCACGCCCUAAACGAUGCCAACUAGGUGUUGGAGAAGGAGACUUCUUUAGUACCGUAGCUAACGCGUGAAGU